rnacentral:rRNA from 1 species
AAGUCGUAACAAGGUCUCCGUUGGUGAACCAGCGGAGGGAUCAUUACCGAGUUUACAAACUCCCAAACCCUUUGUGAACCUUACCUAUCGUUGCUUCGGCGGGACCGCCCCGGCGCCCUCGGGCCCGGAACCAGGCGCCCGCCGGAGGCCCCAAACUCUUAUGUCUUUAGUGGUUUUCUCCUCUGAGUGACACAUAAACAAAUAAAUAAAAACUUUCAACAACGGAUCUCUUGGUUCUGGCAUCGAUGAAGAACGCAGCGAAAUGCGAUAAGUAAUGUGAAUUGCAGAAUUCAGUGAAUCAUCGAAUCUUUGAACGCACAUUGCGCCCCUUGGUAUUCCAUGGGGCAUGCCUGUUCGAGCGUCAUUUGUACCUUCAAGCUCUGCUUGGUGUUGGGUGUUUGUCUCGCCUUUGCGUGUAGACUCGCCUCAAAACGAUUGGCAGCCGGCGUAUUGAUUUCGGAGCGCAGUACAUCUCGCGCUUUGCACUCAUAACGACGACGUCCAAAAAGUACAUUUUUACACUCUUGACCUCGGAUCAGGUAGGGAUACCCGCUGAACUUAA